GAUGAACGCUGGCGGCGUGCCUAAUACAUGCAAGUCGAGCGAACGGACGAGAAGCUUGCUUCUCUGAUGUUAGCGGCGGACGGGUGAGUAACACGUGGAUAACCUACCUAUAAGACUGGGAUAACUUCGGGAAACCGGAGCUAAUACCGGAUAAUAUUUUGAACCGCAUGGUUCAAUAGUGAAAGGCGGUCUUGCUGUCACUUAUAGAUGGAUCCGCGCUGCAUUAGCUAGUUGGUAAGGUAACGGCUUACCAAGGCAACGAUGCAUAGCCGACCUGAGAGGGUGAUCGGCCACACUGGAACUGAGACACGGUCCAGACUCCUACGGGAGGCAGCAGUAGGGAAUCUACCGCAAUGGGCGAAAGCCUGACGGAGCAACGCCGCGUGAGUGAUGAAGGUCUUCGGAUCGUAAAACUCUGUUAUUAGGGAAGAACAUAUGUGUAAGUAACUGUGCACAUCUUGACGGUACCUAAUCAGAAAGCCACGGCUAACUACGUG
rnacentral:rRNA from 1 species